AGGGUUUGAUUAUGGCUCAGGAUGAACGCUAGCUACAGGCUUAACACAUGCAAGUCGAGGGGCAGCAUUUCAGUUUGCUUGCAAACUGGAGAUGGCGACCGGCGCACGGGUGAGUAACACGUAUCCAACCUGCCUUUUACUCGGGGAUAGGCUUUCGAAAAAAAGAUUAAUACCCGAUGGUAUAAUAUUCCUGCAUGGGAUUAUUAUUAAAGAAUUUCGGUAAAAGAUGGGGAUGCGUUCCAUUAGGCAGUUGGCGGGGUAACGGCCCACCAAACCUUCGAUGGAUAGGGGUUCUGAGAGGAAGGUCCCCCACAUUGGAACUGAGACACGGUCCAA
rnacentral:rRNA from 1 species